GAUGAACGCUGGCGGCGUGCCUAAUACAUGCAAGUCGAGCGAAUGGAUUAAGAGCUUGCUCUUAUGAAGUUAGCGGCGGACGGGUGAGUAACACGUGGGUAACCUGCCCAUAAGACUGGGAUAACUCCGGGAAACCGGGGCUAAUACCGGAUAAUAUUUUGAACUGCAUGGUUCAAAAUUGAAAGGCGGCUUCGUCUGUCACUUAUGGAUGGACCCGCGUCGCAUUAGCUAGUUGGUGAGGUAACGGCUCACCAAGGCAACGAUGCGUAGCCGACCUGAGAGGGUGAUCGGCCACACUGGGACUGAGACACGGCCCAGACUCCUACGGGAGGCAGCAGUAGGGAAUCUUCCGCAAUGGACGAAAGUCUGACGGAGCAACGCCGCGUGAGUGAUGAGGGCUUUCGGGUCGUAAAACCCUGUUGUUAGGGAAGAACAAGUGCUAGUUGAGUAAGCUGGCACCUUGACGGUACCUAACCAGAAAGCCACGGCUAACUACGUGCCAGCCGCCGCCGUAA
rnacentral:rRNA from 1 species